rnacentral:piRNA from 1 species
AAUAUAGUUACUUUGGACUAGGGGGUGC